UGUGAAGUUAGGGAUGCAAAGCUGCGUGGUUAGUUAGUGCACCUCAUAUUCAUUCACUCACGUCACUCACCUCACCUCACCAUGCCGUUUCCGAUGAUGCGAAUUCGAAUGCGGAUUCCCUCCGCCGGCAUCUUCAGACUCGCCGUUCGUCAUUUCCUCACUACCACCACCACAACAACCACUAACCUCCGCAUUCGUCUUUCAUCUUCCUCACCCGCCGCCCUAAACCACCAUAGACACAGGACCUUCGCUCUUCCAUUUUUUCACCAACAAACCUCCACUUACGGCCGUUUUGCCUUCAAAGACGUUUCCUCUGAUGAAUCCGACCUCGAAUUCGCUUCUUCUCGCCCUCAACAACAACAACUGGGAGAUUCGACUCUCGAAAACAUUGAUUCUUGGAGAUGGAAACUCACCAUGCUUCUUCGCAAUAAAGAUCAGCAAGAAGUUGUGUCCAAUGAGAAAAAAGACCGUCGUGAUUUUCUGCAACUUGAAACUUUAGCUACCAGGAUGGGCUUAUACAGUCGACAAUAUGCAAGAGUUGUUGUCUUUAGCAAGGCGCCUUUGCCGAAUUAUCGCCCUGACCUCGAUGAUAAGCGUCCGCUGAGAGAGGUAACCUUACCAUUUGGUGUUCAUAGAGAAGUAGACACUCAUCUCCUUGCUCAUCUUUCACAUAAGGCUACAAAAAGAGUAGGCUCUUUCGAUGAUUCCUUGCAUAGAUCAAGGGAUGAUGGAAGCAUUCCUGCGGAUGAAGGGAUUUAUGGGCAUCCGGAACCCAUGAGCCAUAAUAGUGUUGCCAAAGAGAAAAUCCUUCAACGAAGAAGUUUGCAACUGCAUCAUCAACAACAAGACUGGCAGGAAUCUCCCGAAGGCCAAAAGAUGCUUGAAUUUCGCCGAAGUCUUCCUGCAUUCAAAGAGAAAGAUGCAUUUUUGAAAGUUGUUUCAGAGAAUCAGGUCAUUGUCGUCUCAGGUGAAACUGGUUGUGGUAAGACCACACAACUUCCUCAAUACAUAUUAGAAUCUGAGAUUGAAGCUGCACGUGGAUCUCUAUGUAACAUAAUUUGUACUCAGCCUAGAAGAAUAUCUGCUAUAUCUGUUUCUGAAAGAGUUGCAGCAGAACGUGGGGAAAAAUUGGGAGAAUCUGUUGGUUAUAAAGUUCGGUUGGAGGGUAUGAGAGGGAGGGAUACUCGUCUUCUUUUUUGCACCACAGGCGUGUUAUUGCGGAGACUACUUGUGGAUAGAAGUUUAAAAGGUGUAACUCAUGUUAUUGUUGAUGAAAUUCAUGAACGUGGAAUGAAUGAAGAUUUUCUUCUCAUUGUCCUGAAGGAUCUCCUCCCUCGCCGCCCUGAUUUGAGAUUAAUUUUGAUGAGUGCAACCUUAAAUGCUGAGCUUUUUUCUUCAUAUUUUGAUGGUGCCCCAACGAUACAUAUCCCUGGGUUUACCUUUCCAGUUCGAGCACAAUUUCUUGAGGAUAUUCUGGAAAGGACCGGAUAUCGUUUGACUCCUUAUAAUCAAAUUGAUGACUAUGGUCAAGAAAAAACAUGGAAAAUGCAGAAACAAGCCCAGUCUUUCAAAAAACGAAAGAGCCAGAUUGCUUCUGCUGUUGAGGAUGCAUUAGAGGUUGCAGACUUUAAGGGGUAUAGCCUACGCACCAAGGAGUCAAUGUCCUGCUGGAACCCUGAUUCAAUUGGUUUCAACCUUAUUGAACAUGUGCUUUGCCACAUUGUUAAGAAUGAAAGGCCAGGUGCUGCGUUGGUUUUUAUGACUGGUUGGGAUGAUAUAAACUCUUUGAAGGAUAAACUCCAUGCUCAUCCUUUGUUGGGUGAUCAGAGCCGAGUAUUACUUCUUGCCUGCCAUGGCUCUAUGUCCAGCUCAGAGCAGAAAUUAAUAUUUGAAAAUCCUGGAGGAGGGGUGAGGAAGAUUGUUCUGGCUACUAAUAUGGCAGAGACUAGUAUUACUAUCAAUGACGUUGUAUUUGUGGUUGAUUGUGGAAAAGCAAAGGAGACAUCAUAUGAUGCAUUAAAUAACACUCCUUGUUUGCUUCCAUCUUGGAUCUCAAAAGCUGCUGCCAGACAGAGAAAAGGAAGGGCAGGUCGUGUUCAAUCUGGCGAAUGCUACCAUCUUUAUCCCAGAUGUGUUUAUGAUGCUUUUGCUGAUUAUCAAUUGCCAGAGCUUUUAAGAACACCUUUACAGUCCUUAUGUCUACAAAUAAAAAGUCUACAACUUGGAAGCAUCUCUGAGUUUUUAUCUAGUGCUCUCCAGCCACCAGAGCCUCUGUCGGUUCAAAAUGCUGUUGAUUAUUUGAAAAUUAUUGGUGCUUUAGACGAGAAUGAAAAUUUGACAGUUCUAGGGUGCAAGUUGUCAAUGCUUCCGGUAGAGCCUAAGCUUGGCAAGAUGCUCAUCUUGGGAGCUAUUUUCAACUGUUUGGAUCCCAUAUUGACUGUUGUUGCUGGGCUUAGUGUGAGAGAUCCAUUUGUUGUGCCGGCUGACAAGAAGGAUCUUGCAGAGUCGGCCAAGGCCCAGAUUGCUGCUCGUGGAUACAGUGAUCAUCUUGCACUUGUUCGUGCUUAUGAUGGUUGGAAAGAUGCUGAAGCACAGCAAGCUGGUUAUGAGUUCUGUUGGCGUAAUUUUCUCUCGUCUCAAACCCUUAGGGCUAUUGAUUCUCUCCGAAAGCAAUUCUUUCACUUGCUCAAAGAUAUUGGUCUGGUUGGCAACAAUUCUGAAACCAACAAUAAAUGGAGUAAUGAGGAGCAUCUGCUCCGAGCAGUUAUCUGUGCGGGUUUGUUUCCUGGAAUAUCCUCUGUUGUGAACAAGGAAAAGUCAAUAUCACUGAAAACAAUGGAGGAUGGUCAGGUUCUUCUGUAUGCUAACUCGGUAAAUGGAAGUGUAGCCAAAAUUCCAUACCCAUGGAUAGUGUUUAAUGAAAAGAUUAAAGUGAAUACAGUAUUCCUUAGGGAUUCAACUGGCAUAUCUGAUUCCAUGCUGCUCUUAUUUGGCGGGAACAUAUCCAAAGGUGGACUGGAUGGUCACCUAAAAAUGUUGGGAGGGUAUCUAGAAUUUUUCAUGAAACCAGAAUUAGCCAAGACGUACUCAACUUUGAAGAGGGAACUGGAAGAAUUGGUACAUAAAAAACUUGCGGAUCCUAUGUUCGAUAUACACUCGCAUAAUGAGCUUCUUUCAGCUGUUAGACUGUUGGUAUCAGAGGACAACUGCGACGGAAGAUUUGUCUAUGGUCACCAGGUCUUACCACAGUUAAAGAAGGAAACGAAAUCCAAAAGUGGUGAUGGAGCUGGGGGUGAUAAUUCUAAAAAUCAGCUUCAAACAUUCCUCAGCAGGGCUGGACAUCAGUUACCAACUUACAAAACACAGGAGCUGAGAAACAAUCAAUUCCGUUCUACUGUCAUAUUCAACGGCUUGGAUUUUGUUGGCCAGCCAUGCAACAGCAAGAAACUAGCAGAAAAAUCUGCUGCUGCUGAGGCUAUUCUAUGGUUAAAAGGGGAUAAUACCCAUUCAUCUGGUGAUAUUGAUCAUGCAUCUGUGCUUUUGAAGAAAAGGAACAAGAAAAGUAAAAAAAAAUCGUUUAGUGAUGCUAAAUGGAGUUAAGUUACCUUUGCGAGGCAUAUUUUUGGAUAGGUUUGUUUGAUAGGAUCCUAUACCAAGGUUUGUCUAUGUUCUCUAUGUGGUGCAAUCAAAUCAGGGGUAAAUUUACCGGCAAGAGUGUACAGAGCUAUCAGGGAUCUUGAAUCUGAAAGGUAUAGAUCUUAGCUCUUGAUUUUGAAAUGGGGGGAAUUGUAUCUAGAGUCCACAUAAAUUAGGGGCACAUUCCAAGAUGUGUAUUCCUACAAUUGCUUUUACUAAAUCUGACCCGGAGUACAGCAUGGGUAGCUGAGCAGCUACUGUACUUGCAAUGAAUUCAUUAAAAAUGGAGAGUGUAAGCAGCUAAAAUUCGUAUCCACAGGCUAAUGAUGCUUUUGUUCUGCAUCACUCUUGUGGGCAAAGAAGAGAUACUUUACAAGAUGGAUCAAUGUUACUAAUCAAUAAAUGGAGCUUAUUUGAACUAAGCUUUCAAGUCCCAACUUACUGCGACAUCAGACUAGCAAAUGAUCUUACCUUCGGCUUUUGGUGGGGAGAUGCUGGUGUCAUUGAUGAGAGUCUUCGUUGCAUUAUCUGCAACUACAAAGUAAAGAAGUUUCUGUUAAAAUAGUUAACUUUCACAGUCCUUAUAAUUACCAUCCUUUGUGUACUCUGCCUAUCUUUUGUUUUUAACUUUUUUUUUAAUUAUGGAAAUUAAGGUGGUUGAGGUGUUCAUAUAAUUAAACCACAAGUAAUUAAUUUGUUAUUACCUUUAGCCAUUUGUGGAGAGAUUCUUGUGGCAUUGACAGGGUUCUUUGGUGCAAUUCUAUCAUCUGACAAAUGAGAUAUUCUUGUGGCAUUGACAGGGUUCUUUGGUACAAUUCUAUCAUCUGACAAAUGAGAUAUUCUUGUGGCAUUGACAGGGUUCUUUGGUGCAAUUCUAUCAUCUGACAAAUGAGAUAUUCUUGUGGCAUUGACUGGGUUCUUUGGUACAAUUCUAUCAUCUGACAAGUGAGAUAUUCAUAGGGUUAAAGGUUUACCUUAAAUCCUUUUAUUAACCAUAUUGAGAUUCAAAAAAUCUUACCUUCAAUAUAUGUCUUAUCUAUUCUUACCUUCGGCUAUUUUUAGAGAGCCACUGGUGUCAUUGACCAUCAACAAUUUGGUGUCAACGCCAAUUGAGAGCUUGAUGUUCACUGUGAAAAGAAGUAAAGUUAUACUCAAAGGCUA